rnacentral:tRNA from 1 species
GGUCUGAUAGCUCAGUUGGUAGAGCAAGGGACUGAAAAUCCCUGUGUCGCUGGUUCGAUUCCAGCUCAGACCACCA